rnacentral:rRNA from 1 species
AGAGUUUGAUCCUGGCUCAGAUUGAACGCUGGCGGCAUGCCUUACACAUGCAAGUCGAACGGCAGCACGGGAGCAAUCCUGGUGGCGAGUGGCGAACGGGUGAGUAAUAUAUCGGAACGUGCCCAGUCGUGGGGGAUAACGUAGAGAAAUUUACGCUAAUACCGCAUACGAUCUAAGGAUGAAAGCGGGGGACUUCGCAAGAGGCCUCGCGCGAUUGGAGCGGCUGAUAUCAGAUUAGGUUGUUGGUGAGGCAAAAGCUCACCAAGCCGACGAUCUGUAGCUGGUUUGAGAGAACGACCAGCCACACUGGGACUGAGACACGGCCCAGACUCCUACGGGAGGCAGCAGUGGGGAAUUUUGGACAAUGGGCGAAAGCCUGAUCCAGCAAUGCCGCGUGAGUGAAGAAGGCCUUCGGGUUGUAAAGCUCUUUUGUCAGGGAAGAAACGGUGAGGGCUAAUAUCCCUUGCUAAUGACGGUACCUGAAGAAUAAGCACCGGCUAACUACGUGCCAGCAGCCGCGGUAAUACGUAGGGUGCAAGCGUUAAUCGGAAUUACUGGGCGUAAAGCGUGCGCAGGCGGUUGUGCAAGACCGAUGUGAAAUCCCCGGGCUUAACCUGGGAAUGGCAUUGGUGACUGCACGGCUAGAGUGUGUCAGAGGGGGGUAGAAUUCCACGUGUAGCAGUGAAAUGCGUAGAGAUGUGGAGGAAUACCGAUGGCGAAGGCAGCCCCCUGGGAUAACACUGACGCUCAUGCACGAAAGCGUGGGGAGCAAACAGGAUUAGAUACCCUGGUAGUCCACGCCCUAAACGAUGUCAACUAGUUGUCGGGUCUUAAUUGACUUGGUAACGCAGCUAACGCGUGAAGUUGACCGCCUGGGGAGUACGGUCGCAAGAUUAAAACUCAAAGGAAUUGACGGGGACCCGCACAAGCGGUGGAUGAUGUGGAUUAAUUCGAUGCAACGCGAAAAACCUUACCUACCCUUGACAUGGCAGGAAUCCCGGAGAGAUUCGGGAGUGCUCGAAAGAGAACCUGCACACAGGUGCUGCAUGGCUGUCGUCAGCUCGUGUCGUGAGAUGUUGGGUUAAGUCCCGCAACGAGCGCAACCCUUGUCAUUAGUUGCUACGAAAGGGCACUCUAAUGAGACUGCCGGUGACAAACCGGAGGAAGGUGGGGAUGACGUCAAGUCCUCAUGGCCCUUAUGGGUAGGGCUUCACACGUCAUACAAUGGUACAUACAGAGGGCCGCCAACCCGCGAGGGGGAGCUAAUCCCAGAAAGUGUAUCGUAGUCCGGAUUGCAGUCUGCAACUCGACUGCAUGAAGUUGGAAUCGCUAGUAAUCGCGGAUCAGCAUGUCGCGGUGAAUACGUUCCCGGGUCUUGUACACACCGCCCGUCACACCAUGGGAGCGGGUUUUACCAGAAGUAGGUAGCUUAACCGCAAGGAGGGCGCUUACCACGGUAGGAUUCGUGACUGGGGUGAAGUCGUAACAAGGUAACC